CGGAGGCAGCAGUGGGGAAUUUUGCGCAAUGGGGGAAACCCUGACGCAGCAACGCAGCGUGAGUGAUGAAGGCCUUCGGGUCGUAAAACUCUGUCAAGUGGGAAGAAUAUGCACAAGAAUAAAAUUAUUGUGCACUGACGGUACCACUGAAGGAAGCACCGGCUAACUCCGUGCCAGCAGCCGCGGUAAUACGGGGGGUGCAAGCGUUAUUCGGAAUUAUUGGGCGUAAAGAGCGCGUAGGCGGUUUCUUAAGUCAGAUGUGAAAGCCCGGGGCUCAACCCCGGAAGUGCAUUUGAAACUAAGGACCUUGAGUAUGGGAGAGGGAAGUGGAAUUCCUGGUGUAGAGGUGAAAUUCGUAGAUAUCAGGAGGAACACCGGUGGCGAAGGCGACUUCCUGGACCAAUACUGACGCUGAGGCGCGAAGGCGUGGGGAGCAAACAGGAUUAGAUACCCGAGUAGUCU
rnacentral:rRNA from 1 species